UACGGAGGGUGCAAGCGUUAUCCGGAUUCACUGGGUUUAAAGGGUGCGUAGGCGGGUAUGUAAGUCAGUGGUGAAAUCUCGAAGCUUAACUUCGAAACUGCCAUUGAUACUAUAUAUCUUGAAUAUUGUGGAGGUUUGCGGAAUAUGUCAUGUAGCGGUGAAAUGCUUAGAUAUGACAUAGAACACCUAUUGCGAAGGCAGCAGGCUACACAUAUAUUGACGCUGAGGCACGAAAGCGUGGGGAUCAAACAGGAUUAGAUACCCUGGUAGUCCACGCCCUAAACGAUGGAUACUCGACAUACGCGAUACACAGUGUGUGUCUGAGCGAAAGCAUUAAGUAUCCCACCUGGGAAGUACGUCCGCAAGGAUG
rnacentral:rRNA from 1 species